rnacentral:sRNA from 1 species
AGGACGGACGGGGUCAGGUCCCAUCAUGGCGGCUGAAGAGGCGGAUGUGGAUAUCGAAGGGGACGUGGUAGCGGCGGCGGGGGCACAGCCAGGAAGUGGUGAAAACACAGCAUCAGUUUUACAAAAAGAUCACUAUCUUGAUUCAUCUUGGAGAACAGAGAAUGGCCUUAUUCCUUGGACCUUGGAUAACACCAUCAGUGAAGAGAACAGAGCUGUUAUUGAGAAAAUGUUGUUGGAAGAAGAGUAUCCUUUAAUGAUUAUGAGGAAAGUACAGGUUUCAGGGUGAAAAAAUCUAUAAAUGCAAAAUUUACAAGAGGCCACUGUUUACUAGAUGGAUUUUAUACAGCCCCAGACUGCUAUUAUAUAAUUUCAUGUUACCUAUGUAUGCAAAAAGCAGCAUUUUAUUCCUCAGGUUCUGUUUUACUGUAACAUCUGAGAUCUGAUUGCAUAUUUUGAGUUUCUGUCACUAGCCAACUGUUUAUGAUAUCUGAAUAUUGAGUAGAAAUGAUAGAAUAUUUAAGUCAUUUUGAACCUUAAGUCCAAGCUUGCAUUUUUAAGUUAUAUAAGCUGAAACCCAGAGAUGUUAAUUUUCCAAGGACACAGAGUUGGAACAUGUAAAAGUUCAUAAUUUACAGGUGUUACGUGGGAGGAAUCUCAAUAAAAAGCACAAAACAAAUACUAUAGAAU